rnacentral:rRNA from 1 species
GUGUCAGCAGCCGCGGUAAUACGUAGGUGGCAAGCGUUGUCCGGAGUUACUGGGUGUAAAGGGCGUGUAGGCGGGAAGAUAAGUCAGAUGUGAAAUUCCAUGGCUCAACUGUGGCGCUGCAUCUGAAACUAUUUUUCUUGAGUGAUGGAGAGGAAAGUGGAAUUCCUAGUGUAGCGGUGAAAUGCGUAGAUAUUAGGAGGAACACCAGUGGCGAAGGCGACUUUCUGGACAUUAACUGACGCUGAGGCGCGAAAGCGUGGGGAGCAAACAGGAUUAGAAACCCGAGUAGUCC